GACUCUUCAUUCCAUCCCCACUAUCCAGUCGCUUUCUUGAAGAAACCUUUGCUUAAGAACUCCUAAAUACCCAGCUCUAAUUCCAGGCACCCUCACAUGCCAGGGAGACCGCGCCUUCCAGCCUCCGGCUCAGUGAGGCGCCGGUCCGCGGCCAGAACCCUCCAGGGCUGUGCUGCAGACAGCGAGGGCCAGAGGCGGAUGCAGUCGGGUUUAGGGACCGCAGGAGCGAAUUCCCCGAGGCCCGCAGGAGCCGCCCCGCACCGCGUCCAGCCUUUCUCUCUGGGCCUAGCGGGAAAUCUCCCAGGCGCGCCCCUCCCUGCCCACAGGCGCACUUUCUCCACCUGCAUCUGGGGCGGGGUGCGGCUGGGAGCGAAGCACAAGCUGCUGGGCGAGGUUGGGGUUCGAGUGUUGCAGAGUGACCGCGGGGUCUGGGGAAGUUGUCUUGGUGGCGCCACCAGAGCCCGAGCCGCCGCGGCCAGGACCCUGCAGGGCAGGUAGCGACCCGCGGAGACGCCGCCUGGCACGGCCGACUCGGCUGCCGGGCCGUGGGCCUGGGCCGGGCGCAGGAGCCGCGGGGAUGCUGGGUGCGCUCCGAGGGUGCGGCUGUGCGGGGCUCAGAGCCGGGUGCGGGGCCCGGUGCCUGGCAAAGGUAAGGCAGGAGUGGGCGUCUUUCUCGCAGGACGCUGGGUCGGAGGGAGCUUGAACUUGAGGUUGCUGGGAAUCCAGAAAGGACGCCGGUGCCACCAGGAGCGCCUGCCUUGGGGCGUGGAGCCGCUCCUCCCUCAAUGGGCGGACCCUGCUGGCAGCCAGAAAUCGUUCCACACAGCCCAGAAUCCCAGGAAAACCUACCUUUCUUGAGACUACAUGCUCCUGUGAUAGCUCAACAGACUCAGUUCUUCACUAAUAUUGCUCUCUACGGUUUUCCCCCAAAACACUCCAGGAAAUAUCAUGUCCUGUCUUCACAAAUGCUUCUGAUGAGAUAACUGAGGCUCAGUGUUUUCUACAAAGGAAUAAAAUUAAGCAAGAUAAAUUUGAACCCAGGUCUUUUUGUUCUUGGGAUCUGAAUUCUCAUGCUAUGCUGUGCUCAUAGGGGUACCCAUCACAAGGCAGUUAAUCUCAAAUGCCCAACAGCAGGAAGGCUCGUUUCUCCUGGAAUCAGGAAGAUUGCCAAUAGCUCCCAGCAAACAUCUGCUGACUUGGUCACUUCUGGGAGAAAGUUGCUGUCCCCAGGUAGGUUCAGCACAAGUCCUGGGUUGCUCAUCACAGGCUGUUUGGCAUAACUGGGAUCACGUGCCCAUCCGGAGCCAAUCACUGUAGCCAGCCCUGAACCAGAAGUAGGUAUCACCCCCCAGUUGAAGGACUUGGGCAAAGAGUAGGGGAGGGGUUCUAGGUGGGCUGUGGCUACUGAUGGGGACAGGAGCUGGAGUGGGUGCUACUCCAGUUACCAUAGUCUCACGGGUCCUGGAAUGGCGCUGCAGGAGUCCAAGUGGGAUUCUCUAUCUCUGCAAACUCAGGAGUCACAGUUUGGGUUCAUAGU